rnacentral:misc_RNA from 1 species
GUUCAGUCCAGGGUGUUGUAGGGGCCGUCUCAUGUAUUCUCGUCCAUAAGGUGAGGUGUGAUGGGUGAGGUGGAUGAGAGGUUGACCUCCUCGGGUGUUGCUGGUCACCAUGCUUUUGCUAACAGAGGAUGGCUCAAGACACAUCUCCUGUCCUACAAAACCCUCAGUCUGGUGGUGCUGUCUGUGCAAACUUCAACGAUGGUCCUGCUUCUUCGUUACAGCCGCACGUCAAUUAAUUUUGCCCAUCAGCCAUACAUCAUCACCACUGCUGUCUUCUCAUCUGAGGUUCUUAAGCUGGGACUUUCCCUGGGAUUUUUACACAUAGAGUCUGGUAAGGUAAUGAAAGCAACUUUGAAUCGGCUUUAUGAAGACGUAUUUAUCAAUAUUUGGGAGACAUUGAAACUGGCCAUUCCAGCUUUUUUAUAUGUCGUCCAAAACAACUUGCUUUUUAUUGCACUCUCCAACCUGGAUGCUGCCACAUAUCAGGUCACGUACCAGUUAAAGAUCCUGACGACAGCUAUUUUCUCAUGGGUAAUGCUCGGCAAGCGUCUUACACCCAUCCACUGGCUAGCCCUCUGUCUGCUCAUGUUGGGGGUCUCUCUUGUACAGGUGGAGGGGAGCAGUAAUGGUAAUGGCAGCAACAGUAAGGUUCUGCCAGUUGCCCCAGAGGUGGAGGUGCUUGAGGGUGGUGAUUCAGUGAUACUCGGAGGCACAGAGGAAGGUGCAGGUUUUCCACCGCCUGACAUACGCAAUGAACACCCCAACACAGAAGUAUCGAGACUUUUAGGAAUUUUAGCAGUUUUUGUAUCGUGUAUUUCUAGCGGAUUCUCGGGCGUGUACUUUGAACGACUCGUUAAGAGAGGUACACAAACAUCAUUGAUCAUCAGAAAUAUUCAGCUGGGAAUGUUUUCUAUUGCAUUUGCUGUGAUAGCAGUGAGCAGUGAUAGUACAGCUAUUAAGGACGGGGGGUUCUUCCAGGGUUACUCCGUUGCCACUUGGAUGGUAGUUCUUAUACAAGCAUUUGGUGGACUGGUAGUGUCAGUGGCAAUGAAGUACGCCGAUAACAUUCUGAAGGGGUUUGCCACUUCGCUGUCCAUUGUGAUGUCUACUCUAGUGUCGUGGCUGGUCUUGGGAGACGCUGCCCCAUCCACACAGUUUGUUGUCGGAGCAACCAUUGUUAUAUCAUCAACGGUACUGUAUGGCCUCACCCCUCAAAAGGGGGGUGUGUACACUGCAGGUUCUCAGCUUUCAUCUAUCAACAGCUCUCAUAAGAUCAUCAAGGAAGAAAAAAGUGAGUGAAAUCGUAUGACCUAAGCAAAGGUGGCCACUUUUAACAGAUGUUACACAAUGUAAAAGUUAAGACAUGAAAUUCAUGAGGCUGCCUAAAGGUUGUUUUCAGUUAUGUGGCUGUUACUUUGUACCCUUAUUCAAGAUGAGUGGAAAAAGCCUAUCAAGUUCAAGUGAAAGCAGUGGUGAUAAAAGAUUCCAUAAAGGAAUUACAUUGGACAUUAAACUUGAUGUUGUAAGGAGGUAACUCCCAGUAAUUCUGAUCCCACAACUUCACCACCACCUGCAGCACUCAAUAUUGUUUCUGGUAAGUAAAAUUAGAGUGUUCUGUUCAUUUUUUAUCAUGUUACAUCAUGAAUGACUCAUCAUAUGUGGCUAAAACUGUCUAAUUUCAUACACAUACGUGCUUGUGUCACAUUUUUGGGCCUUAAGAAAUUUCCUUAGGAAUGCAUCUCAACUUUUAUGCUGGAAGCAUAUGAGAAAAGUGGUUUUGCGUUACAGAAUUUUGCUUUACGGAAAGAUUUUCAGGAAUGGAACCCUUCCGUAACCUGGGGGAUGCCUGUACUGUACUUAUAUUGUACAGUAUAUACUGUAAGGUAUACUAUAAUUUGUACUAAGCGGAAGUCCUGAUAUUCCCAUUAGGUAUGGGCAUCACUGGGUGUCAGAAGUACCCUCCAGAUGAUACAUUUACCUUCCAGAAAGGGGAAUUUUAUCAAUGGUUUACAUUCAUUGUAGGUUCUUGUGGCCAAGUGACAUACAGUUCAGUGGCUAAGGUUUUAUCUUUUACCAUUACAGUAUGUGCAAUAUGCCUGGUCUGUUGUCUUUCUAUAAAUGUUAACUUGAGACCUGAGAAUUUUUUACUACUUCUCAUCUAAGGAACUAUGAUCUGUCUCAGUCACUGGAAAUGUAAAUAUUCAUUAUUAGCAAUACUUUUUUGCAUUCCUGAAAGAAAAAGAUCAUUCAAAGAAAGAAGUUACAUUGCUGGGUUAGUAACUGUAGAUCUUCGGUAAACUCUCCAUUUACCAAAGCUUGCAGGGGGAAGGAUGUUAUUUGGUCACAAAAACUUUGUUUACCACUUAAUUAUAAGUAACCUUUUGUUUGUGUAUUACAGUAGCUAGAGCUAUUGAAUUACCUUAUACGAAUUGUUUAUAACUCUACCAAAGACAUAAAUACUCGGCUUAUUAAUUAUGAAUAUGAUAUUUAUAAACAUGACUUAAGCUAAAGUAACAUAUUCUACUCAAUAAAUUAACAUCAGAACAAUAAAUUUCUAACAGUGAGUUUAACAUGACACAGUGGUAAGGAGCACAGUUGGUGGGAUAUCAGAGGUAGUAAUGUUUAUCAGUCCACCACAGUGCGUUGUAAUGAAGUGUUAGCCCAAAAAUUCCCAAUAAUCACAGAAUUUGUUAAUGUUUGGAUUAAUUGGAGGGUUUACUGCAUGUUAGAAGAUUUUGUUAUACUGUAUUUAUUUUCUUUGAGUGAAACAUGUUGAAAAUAAGUAUUGCUUACUAAUAAUCAUGUCACAAUACUGAUGCUAGUCUUAUAUAUGUGAUAUUUAAUGUAUACAUAUUUGUUCUUAAUUUAUAAUGUUCUAGUACAAAGAACAGAAUGCAUAUGUAUAUUACUAUCUUCAUUAUUUAACUUACACAGUGCUAUAAUUGAGACUUCUCUAAAAGGAACAUUAUGUAUGGUCACAAGGAGGAGGUUUUAAGUUGAUCAUCAUACACAUUUAUUUUAGAAAUUUGAAAAAAAACUUAUUCAUCCAACCCAUCAAAUAAUCACCCAAUACAUCACUUAACUAUUGCAUUUUGCCUUGUAAAUACCAAUUGUUCUCUUCAUCCUUCAAUAUUCAGUUCCUUGCUUUUAAACUGAAAUAAUGUUCAAAUUGGAUGACACCUGAGUAACUUUAAUGUGAUCAAUGAGUCAAUAAACUAAUGAAUGUAGAUAAUUAGAUAUAUUACUUGAUAUACCUUUGGUAAAACAUGGCCUUUUUAGAAAAUGUUGACACACCUGUACUUGCUUUGAUAUAAGAUUAAAUUUGUUUCAUGAAUAUCAUAGCUGUGUUGUUUAUGUUGGUGUAGGAAUUAAUAUAUUUUUUGUUAAAGUCCACAUUUUUCUCCUGUAAGUUAAAUGAUACUACAGGGGUUAGUUGUCUAUGAGCUAAAUACCAUUAUGCACAUCUCUUUACACUGCAUCGUAAUCUAUGAACCAAACACCUUAGCUUCUUACACCUCUGUUUACAUUGUCUUUACUGUCAGUUUACACAUCUCACGGGGCAUAUGUCAUAUCUAUUGUUUUUCCUUUGUCUUUUAUUUAUUUUACUCUUACCUUUGAAAUUGCUUUUAUAGCCUUGCUCUGUAUGUAAAUAUUCAUCUCACACACUGGAAAUGUUUUUCUUUCUGUACCGGUAGUCAUCAUUUCUCUUCGAAGAUGUUGAUAGUUGCCGAAUUAAACAGGAUCCUUGUGGUUCCUUUACUCUCUGCAAACCAAUUAUUUCUCCACUCUUAUUGAUUCCACUUUCUAUAUUUUAUUUAUUUUUUCAACUCUUAGCUCUUACCACAUCUGUCACUCACAUGAUUCAUUUCAACAGCUUAAAUUUUAAAACUUUUGUACUGUAUUUCAUUUCCAUUUCACUCCCCCCAGAUCCAUGGUUAUACAGUAAUUGUAUUAAUUCAUAAACCUCUUCUAAAAUCUAGAUCUGUUUUCCUUUAGUCUGUUUGAGUGUUAAUAGGUUUUAUCUGCCAACAGUACAAAAGCAACAAAUUGGCUAUUCACCAACUGCUCUCUCUCUGAUUUGAUCUCCAUUUACUAAAACAUCUUUGCUUCUUUCCUCACCCUCAUGAUUUAUUAGUCUAUACUGUACUUCUUUCUUCCUUGACAUGCUUAGUUCUUAACUCUGCUUUCCUGUACUGUAUAUUAAUAGUACUGUACUAUUUGUAACGUUAUUCUGUCACCUGGUAUAGUCCGCCAAAAAACUAUUAGCAAAGGAGUAUUAUAGGUGUAGGUAGAACAGUUCACAAGAGCACAAAUUCCAAUAGUCUACUUCUAUGAUAGGGUUGUGUUCCUGAAAACCUUGUAGACUGAAUAAUCUUAAUCUGAAUCUCGCAUUUAUCCGUUGAUUACUAUUAUAAAUUAAGAUAUAUUUUAAAAACGAACAUCAUCGACUGAAAUGCUUGCUCUUUUAUUUUUCAUUAUGUACUUAUAAUAAUCUUCCAGUAAUUUUUGUGCCAUUCUAUACUAUCAGUCUCUAUUCCAGUUACUUUCAACUGCAUAUCACACGAUUUCUCUUUUCAACGAGUACGUACAGUAUAUUUUGCCUUUAAUCUAUGUUAUACUGUCUAUGUUAAGAAUCCUUUUUUUGUUUUAUUCCCACAUUCCUAAGUGAUUCACCAGUGUGCUGUGUUUUAGCUAAGUUCUCUUAACACAAGACCUUCUACAUAGAACUUAUGUAUCCCUACGAGCACCUUGCUUUUAAUCAGUUUUAUACUUUGUCAUUAUUUCCACAUUGCAUAACACCCUUCCAUUAUUGUGCAUCAUUUGAAUGUAGCUUAGAUGAUGCUACCUUGUUGUAGUGAAGGUUGUGAACUUUCUUCUAUAAAAUCAAUAUUUUUUUGUUAUUGUUAUCCAAAUAGUGAUAGGCCUCAUGAGGAAGGUUAUACCACAGUGUUUCAUACAACAUUGGCCUUUUGUAGUGUAACUGGUAAUGGAAUGGAAAAAAUCUUAGUUAGUGAAGUAAACUCAACAAACUUUUAAGACCUUUUAGUUAAACAUGAAUAAAGUAAUCAAGAAAAUUUUUAUCUGAUGUUUAAAUUCUUUGAGUGAAAGUUAUUUCCCUUGUCAUUCCUAGAAAUGCACUAUAAAGUAAGUAAAUUGAAAAAUAUAUUGUAAAUUAAAAUAUACGUACUUACGCUAAAGAUCUGUAAGAACCAAUCGAUGUGAAGAUGUCACCCUUAUAUUUUGCAAUGCAUAUGAAAGUAAACUGUCCAAGUGAUAUACUGUAGUAAGCCCUCAAUGAGUUAAUUACAACACUUACCUUACACUUCCCUUUCAUAUUUCUUAAUUAUUCAUUACAUUCAUUUGUUGGCUUUAUCAUCAAUACCAUAUACCAAUAACACAUACAGAAUCCCUAUCAUAGCUCUCAUUAACAGUUUCUGCCAUUACACCUAAAGUAAAGGAAAACUCCAAUAGAUGUUCAUAAUUGUAACCAACAGACAGAGAGCUAAUGAUGGGCCAGGAGAUGCAAAGUAUAAUGGAAUGAUAGUGGUUACUGAAGCAAAUACUUCCCUAAAAUAAUAUCAUAGUAUAACUCAGCAUUGUAUUUAGUGGAUUUAACUUUAGGCCUGUAAUAACCUGCAAUUUCUAACCUGUUUAAUUCUUUUCUCUUCUCAUAAUGCUGACAGCUUUAACAAUUCUCCUUCUACACCAAAAAAUUGUAAAUGCUUUUCAUGUUUUAUUUUAAAAAAUUUCUAAAUUAUCAGAUACAGUACUAAUUACACCUUUUUUUCUCGAGGUAAUAAAUUCUCUCUUUAGGAUUUUCUCAAUUCAGAUUCUCAGAGUGAAGGUGAUCCACACUCAUUUCACUCAGUAUAUCCUACACUUAUUUUUCCACCCUGCAUGUACAGAUCCAGCACUCAUCUAACCACAAUCACAUUAUUAAUAAACAAAAAUAAUUUAUUCAAGGCUAAAAUAAAAAUAUAAAUUCUUCUUUCUUCAAUGUUUUGUAAACAAACAUUCUCAAGGUGAUGAACUAGCCCACUAAUCUACGUAUAAAUAUCACACACUCACACAUUGUUCUCUCCCAUAUCUAGAUUAGUAAAUAUAUUCACUUCCUUGCUCACUUAACAUUCUUUGUAAGCGAACAUCUGAUCUACAUAACCAUGUCAUUCCAUAAAGCUUUCCAAAUUUUCUCUCACUUAAGACUAAAAUGAUUCUUUCUGUUACUACACACAUAUGUACUACCUCUUAUACUCCCCAAGCUAAUACCAGAAUAAUUCUUAAGUGCUACAAUGUUGAGGACUAUAUUAACAUUUAUGAACUUGUUAUAAACUACACUGGUUGUGCUGGGUAUUACUUGAGGUGAGAUUUUAGUUUUAUCACCAAAAUGUCACAAAGUUCAUGACAGUUUUAAUAAUGUAUGUACAGUGCUUUAGGUUCAAGACUUACUUUUAGUCUUCAGAAUGCAGAAAAUUACUCAAAAAAGGUCAACAUUGAUGCUUAAUGAUUUAAGCAGGAAAGAAAAUAAUGUACCGUAGAUUCGGGUUAAUUUGAUAUGUAAUUGUAGCAUUGAAUUAUUAUAUUCGUUAUUUAAUAAUGGUACGUGUGAGAAAAGAAUUUAAAUAAACGAGAAUGAAAUUACAGUA